UACAGAGAUCCCGAGCGUUGUUCGGAUUCACUGGGCGUAAAGGGUGCGUAGGUGGCGGUGGAAGUUUGAUGUGAAAGCUCAGGGCUCAACCCUGAAAUGGCAUUGAAUACUAUCGAGCUGGAGGUUUGGAGGGGGGACUGGAAUUCUUGGUGUAGCAGUGAAAUGCGUAGAUAUCAGGAAGAACACCGGUGGCGAAGGCGGCCUGCUGGGCAGUAGGCUGACGCUGAUGCGCGACAGCAUGGGGAGCAAACAGG
rnacentral:rRNA from 1 species